GAAUUUGAAGACUGUUAAAAAUAAUUAUAUCUCUGUCAACUGACACCACAUAAUUUUAGAGCCCAUUCCAACUGAGACUGGUGAAUACGUUGGUUGGUAAAUUUCAUGUUUGUGAAUGGAAAAUCUAUCAGGGCAGGUAAAAAUGAGCAACAGUGAGUUGGCAAACUUGAGGUGGUAUAUAACAGGAAGAAAGUCCCACUUCUGGAACCAUGAUCUCCACUCUAAAUUCAUCACUCUUUAUGGUCCAGGCUGGGGCAUAAUUCUUGGAAGCCAAUUGAAUUGAUACAAAGCCUCAAUUUAGAAAUUGGACAUCA
rnacentral:lncRNA from 1 species